rnacentral:misc_RNA from 1 species
CGGGACGCCUCACCUAUGGCUCUACCGGCAAUGGCACGACCGGGCAUCUGGCGUUUGCGCAGAUGCGCCAGGUCACCGGUAUGGACGCGGUGCACGUGCCGUACAAAGGCGGCGCACCGCAAAUCACCGCGUUGAUUUCAGGCGAAGUGUCGAUGCUGCUUUCCGUGCCCGCGCCGUUGCUGUC